UGGGGAAUUUUGGACAAUGGGCGAAAGCCUGAUCCAGCAAUGCCGCGUGUGCGAAGAAGGCCUUCGGGUUGUAAAGCACUUUGUCCGGAAAGAAAUCCGUCUGGCUAAUACCCGGAUGGGAUGACGGUACCGGAAGAAUAAGCACCGGCUAACUACGUGCC
rnacentral:rRNA from 1 species